rnacentral:rRNA from 1 species
CAAACGACUCUCGGCAACGGAUAUCUCGGCUCACGCAUCGAUGAAGAACGUAGCAAAAUGCGAUACUUGGUGUGAAUUGCAGAAUCCCGUGAACCAUCGAGUUUUUGAACGCAAGUUGCGCCCAAAGCCAUCCGGCUGAGGGCACGUCUGCCUGGGCGUCACG